ACGACCCUGCGGCGUGCCUAAUACAUGCAAGUCGAGCGGACAAGGGAGCUUGCUCCUGGAGGUUAGCGGCGAACGGGUGAGUAACACGUGGGCAACCUGCCUGUAAGACUGGGAUAACAUCGAGAAAUCGGUGCUAAUACCGGAUAAUAAAAAGAACUGCAUGGUUCUUUUUUGAAAGAUGGUUUCGGCUAUCACUUACAGAUGGGCCCGCGGCGCAUUAGCUAGUUGGUGGGGUAACGGCUCACCAAGGCGACGAUGCGUAGCCGACCUGAGAGGGUGAUCGGCCACACUGGGACUGAGACACGGCCCAGACUCCUACGGGAGGCAGCAGUAGGGAAUCUUCCGCAAUGGACGAAAGUCUGACGGAGCAACGCCGCGUGAGUGAUGAAGGUUUUCGGAUCGUAAAACUCUGUUGUUAGGGAAGAACAAGUGCCGUUCGAAAGGGCGGCACCUUGACGGUACCUAACGAGAAAGCCACGGCUAACUACGUGCCAGCAGCCGCGGUAAUACGUAGGUGGCAAGCGUUGUCCGGAAUUAUUGGGCGUAAAGCGCGCGCAGGCGGUCUCUUAAGUCUGAUGUGAAAGCCCCCGGCUCAACCGGGGAGGGUCAUUGGAAACUGGGAGACUUGAGUACAGAAGAGGAGAGUGGAAUUCCACGUGUAGCGGUGAAAUGCGUAGAGAUGUGGAGGAACACCAGUGGCGAAGGCGACUCUCUGGUCUGUAACUGACGCUGAGGCGCGAAAGCGUGGGGAGCAAACAGGAUUAGAUACCCUGGUAGUCCACGCCGUAAACGAUGAGUGCUAGGUGUUAGGGGUUUCGACGCCCUUAGUGCCGAAGUUAACACAUUAAGCACUCCGCCUGGGGAGUACGACCGCAAGGUUGAAACUCAAAGGAAUUGACGGGGGCCCGCACAAGCAGUGGAGCAUGUGGUUUAAUUCGAAGCAACGCGAGAACCUUACCAGGUCUUGACAUCCUUUGACCACCCUAGAGAUAGGGCUUUCCCCUUCGGGGACAAGUGACAGGUGGUGCA
rnacentral:rRNA from 2 species